GGGGAUUUAGCUCAAUGGUAGAGCGCUUGCCUAGCAAGCGCAAGGCCCUGGGUUCGUUCCCCAGCUCUG
rnacentral:tRNA from 1 species